rnacentral:rRNA from 1 species
GACGAACGCUGGCGGCGUGCUUAACACAUGCAAGUCGAACGGAAAGGCCCUGCUUGCAGGGUACUCGAGUGGCGAACGGGUGAGUAACACGUGGGUGAUCUGCCCUGCACUUCGGGAUAAGCCUGGGAAACUGGGUCUAAUACCGGAUAGGAGCCAUUUUUAGUGUGAUGGUUGGAAAGUUUUUUCGGUGUAGGAUGAGCUCGCGGCCUAUCAGCUUGUUGGUGGGGUAAUGGCCUACCAAGGCGGCGACGGGUAGCCGGCCUGAGAGGGUGGACGGCCACAUUGGGACUGAGAUACGGCCCAGACUCCUACGGGAGGCAGCAGUGGGGAAGAUUGAACAAUGGGCGCAAGCCUGAUGCAGCGACGCCGCGUGGGGGAUGACGGCCUUCGGGUUGUAAACUCCUUUCGCUAGGGACGAAGCUUUUUGUGACGGUACCUAGAGAAGAAGCACCGGCUAACUACGUG